rnacentral:rRNA from 1 species
ACGAACGCUGGCGGCAGGCCUAACACAUGCAAGUCGAGCGAGGACUUCGGUUCUAGCGGCGGACGGGUGAGUAACGCGUGGGAAUGUGCCCUUCUCUACGGAAUAGCCCUGGGAAACUGGGAGUAAUACCGUAUACGCCCUAUUGGGGAAAGAUUUAUCGGAGAAGGAUCAGCCCGCGUUGGAUUAGGUAGUUGGUGGGGUAAUGGCCUACCAAGCCGACGAUCCAUAGCUGGUUUGAGAGGAUGAUCAGCCACACUGGGACUGAGACACGGCCCAGACUCCUACGGGAGGCAGCAGUGGGGAAUCUUAGACAAUGGGGGCAACCCUGAUCUAGCCAUGCCGCGUGAGUGAUGAAGGCCUUAGGGUUGUAAAGCUCUUUCAGCUGGGAAGAUAAUGACGGUACCAGCAGAAGAAGCCCCGGCUAAUUCCGUG